rnacentral:rRNA from 1 species
UACGUAGGGGGCAAGCGUUAUCCGGAUUUACUGGGUGUAAAGGGAGCGUAGACGGCUUUGCAAGCCAGAUGUGAAAGCCCGGGGCUCAACCCCGGGACUGCAUUUGGAACUGUAUGGCUGGAGUGUCGGAGAGGCAGGCGGAAUUCCUAGUGUAGCGGUGAAAUGCGUAGAGAUUAGGAAGAACACCAGUGGCGAAGGCGAUUCUCUGGACUGUAACUGACGCUGAGGCUCGAAAGCGUGGGGAGCAAACAGG